UGCGAAGCCUGAGUUUGCAGAUAUAUCAGGGACACGAAGGGCAGAGAGAGAACAGAGGGUGAAUAGCAUUGACCACAGACCUGGACCUCAACCAGGUCCUGCUGCUAUUUACUUAAGGCCACCGAUCGCCUCUUUGACCCCGGUGAACUGACACAUUCCUUCUAAUUGUGAUUGACAGAUCAUGCAAAUGAGAGCUGGAGAUUGACAGUCCAAGAUCCCUUUGUCUGCCUUCACAAUGCAGAGAGUAUCCACCCCGUCGAUAGUCACAAAGUUGGAAAGCAGCGUCCAUCAUCAGGGACCUCCACCACCCAGGACAUGCUCUCUUCUCACUGCUGCCAUCAGGAAGGAGGUACAGGAGCAUCAGGACUUACACCAGCAGGUUCAGGAACAGUUACUACCCCUCACCCAUCAGACUCUUGAACCAAGGGCUCUUGAACUUCACUCAACUUCAUCAUUGAAAUGCUUCUACAGCCAAUGGACUCACUUUCAAGGACUUUUCAUUUCAUGUUCUUGAUAUUUAUUGCUUAUUCAUUUAUUAUUGUUAUUUCUUUCCUUUUGUCAUUGCAGUUUGUUGUCUCCUGCAUUCUGGUUGAACACCCAAGUUGGGCAGUCGUCCAUUGAUUCUGUUAUGGUUAUUAUUCUAUAGAUUUAUUGAGUAUGCCCGCAAGAAAAUGAAUUUCAGAGUUGUAUAUGUUGACUUAUCUGUACCUUGACAAAAAAUGUACUUUGAACUUAGAACUUUAAAUGUCUUUUAAAUAUUGAGGUCGUAUCCACAUUGACAGCUUCUUCUGGCAACUCAUUACACAUACCCACUACCUUCAGUAUGAAAAUAUUUCCUCUCAGGUCCUUUUCAAAUUAUUCCCCUCUCACCUUAAAUCUAUCCUUGCUAUUUACGACUUCCUUACCCUAGGGAACAGACUGUGACUAUCUAACUUAUCUACACCACGCAUGAUUUUAUAUACCUGUAGAAAGUUAUCUCUCAGCAUCUUGUGCUCCAGGAAGAGAAGUUCUGGCCUAUGCAGUCUCUCCAAAUAACUCAAGCCCUCCAGUGCCAAUAUGCUGGCCUGUGGCAUGGUAGCAUCCACGCCGGACUUCGAGAUGAAUAGUCCUGGGUUCGAAUCCGGCUGGCUGCUUGCGUGCUUGCCACCUGUGCUGGGUUGAACAUUGAGCUAGCAACUCUGCCUCAUAAAAGAAACAGACAAAAAUGCUAGAACAGUGGCAAGGUUGCCACCUGAUGCACCACAGAGAGCAGAAAGAAACAACUACCCAAUCCAGUGCUGAUGGCACCCUCGCACUCCUACUGGAAAGUGCAAUUUUCAGGAUAGGUUAAGGACAGUGGUUCUUCCCCUUGUGGUUAAAUAAGCAACUUCCAAUCAUUAUCUGGCUGGUACAUGAAAGCACAGUGGUUAAGUUAUUCGCUUAGAGUACUGAUCCAGAGGUAUUGAAUUUAGAUCCUGCAAAGCCAGCUAGUUAAAUAUAGUUAGCUAAAUACAGAUAGACAUUGCUUAGCAACCUUUCUUUCACUCGUUAACUUUCCAAGCUACAGAUAAUUCAAGAUUCACUUAUAGUUGCCUCAUUUUUAUUGUCAUACUUUGCUACACAUGCUGUUUCUGGACCCAAAGCACAUCCGGGGAUUAGAAACAUAUAAUAUUCCCACAUUUACCUUCUACCGUGAAACUGCGUUCAUUGUUCAAAGUACGUUUAUUAUCAAAGUAUGCAUGCAGUAUACAAGCCUGAGAUUCAUCUUCCCGCAGACAGCCACUGAACCCAUUUUAUAUAUAUACAUAAAUAUAUAAGUAAGAUAUCACUCCCCUCAACCAGCACAGAAAAAACCUAAUUGUACAAAUGACAAUGAAAAAUGAGAGUAAAAAACAUAGAAUAUAGAAUACCAAACUACCAAAGGCGUUGAAAGAGUCCAGGCAAAUUCAGUCUAGCUUGCUUCAAGCUAACCAGCGCUGUGCCGUACUUUAUCUUCAAGCCACAGAAGCAGUCCACCCUGAUCAAAAUUGCUCAAAAUGGCAACGAGAAAUGGAGCAACCAGAAACCAGAAACACAUUGUAACAUGAACUACAGAGUCCAAUCCACAAACCACGUCGAUUAAACCUUGCCUGAGACCCAGGACUCCUCUGACAGCAUCGAGGGAGAGGGAGAGAGGGACUGUUUGAGUACAGGGACCUUCCUCCGGGGGCGCCGGAUGAGAGGAAGGUCUGUCAAACUUUCAACUUCACUGCUCGCUAGCUAAUCAUUUACUGUCUCCUGGCCCUGGUCUUCUCCCACUGAAAAGAUCUGUUCUGCAUCGUUUCUAAUGAUAUCAUAGCUUUGAUAAACAUAAGGGUGACUUUCAACACCGGCCCCAUUAUAAAUCUUGAAUAAAGAGCUGGCACAAUUUUAGGAACACGAUAAAGUCUGCAGCUGCUGGAAAUCUAAAGAAACACAUCACAAAAUGCUGGGGGAGCUCAGCAGGUCUGCAAGUGGCCUAAGUGCUACACCUGCCCAUACCCCUCCUCCCUCACCUCCAUUCCCAUUCUCAUUCCCAAGUGUUAGUCCAUGGCCUCCUCUUGUGCCAAGACAUGACCCCCAGUGUGGAGGUGCAACACCUUGUAUUCUGUCUGGGUACCCUCCAACCGGAUGGCAUGAAUAUUUCCCCACAUCCACUAUACCCCACUCUGACCUCAGCUGCCUACUACUUCCCCCCGAGUCACUUCCUUCUUCUCUUUCUCCUAUGGUUCACUCUCCUCUCCUAUCAGAUUUUUCUUUCUCCAGCCUUUGACCUUCCCCACCCACCUGGCUUCAUCUAUCAUCUUCCAGCUGUCUCUUUCCCCUCCCUCCACCUUUUUAUUCUGGCAUUUUCCUCCCUUCCGUCUCAGCCCUGAAGACGUGACUCAGCCCGAAACAUCGACUAUCUAUUCAUUUCCGUAGAUGCUGCCUGACUGGCUGAAUUCCUCCUGGAUUUUGUGUGUGAUGUUGGUACAGUAUUGGUGAGCAUGAAACUAUCCAUCAGAUUUACUAAUGCCCUUUAGAGAAAGCGAUCUGCGUUCUAUGAAGGACCUUAUGCUGAUUGGCCUAUAUGUGACUUCAGCCCUGCAUUGGAUCUGAGCUGCUUUCUUCUGAGAGCUGCCCUAAGUGCAGUACAAUUCAGUCAAUGUUGACCAUGUCACGUACUGUAACUAUAAGCUGGAGAGAGAAGAUGAAGGAGGUUUAGAGUAACCAACAAACUAAUUCGGACGUAUGGUUAAAAGUGUUCUGACUGGUUGCACUGUGGACUGGUGUGGUAAUUUGAAUCAGCAGGAAUGUGAGAAGCUGCAGUGAGUCAGAUAUCAUGGCAGAUUCCUCCCCACCAUCAAUGGCAUCUACAGGAGGUGCUGCCUCAAGAAGGCAGCUAGGAUCAUGUCCCUUAAGGCCAUGCUAUCUUCUUGCAGUUUCCACUGGGCUGCAAGGAGAAGUCUGGGGACUCACACUACCAAGUUCAAGAACAGCUACUUCCCUUCAGCCAGUCAGUUCUUGAAUCAUCCAGCAAAACCCUUUAUAACAACACUGAGGUAGUGAUUAGGAAUAUUUUUUGUUCCAAUCAGGUUCUAUCUUGUAAAAAUUGUGUACAAUAUAUGUUUAUCUUGUGAUAUGCCAACUAAUGGAAUGAUGUUGCAGCAAUAAUCUGGCACACAACGUCAGUAAGACGAAAGAGCUGAUUGUGGACUUCAGGAAGGGUAAGACGAAGGAACUCAUACCAAUCCUCAUAGAGGGAUCAGAGGAGGAGAGAGUGAGCAGCUUCAAGUUCCUGGGUGUCAAGAUCUCUGAGGACCUAAACUGGUCCCAACAUAUCGAUGCAGUUAUAAAGAAGGCAAGACAGCCACUAUACUAGCCUACAAAGUACCCAGGAUAUUUUCAAAGAGUGGUGUCUUGAAAAGGCAGCAUCCAUUAUUAAGGACCUCCAGCACCCAGGACAUGCCCUUUCCUCACUGUUACCAUCAGGUAGGAGGUACAGAAGCCUGAAGGCACACACUCAGCGAUUCAGGGACAGCUUAUUCCCCUCUGCUAUCUGAUUCCUAAAUGGACAUUGAACCCUUGAGCACUACCUCCCUUUUAAAAUAUAUAUUAUUUUUGUUUUUUGUACAAAUUUUUGUUCUGUUCAAUAUACAUAUACUGUAAUUGAUUAACAUAUUUAUUUAUUAUCACUUUUAUUUAUUUUUUUUUCUUCUUCUUCUAGAUCAUGUACUGCAUUGAACUGCCGCUGCUAAGUUAACAAAUUUGAAGACACAUGCCGGUGAUAAUAAACCUGAUUCUUAUUCUGA